GUGGCCGUAGCUUAGUAGGCUUAAAGCGCCGGGUUGUGGUCCCGGAGAUCGUGGGUUCGAAUCCCAUCGGUCACC
rnacentral:tRNA from 1 species